rnacentral:rRNA from 1 species
UACGGAGGGGGCGAGCGUUAUUCGGAAUUACUGGGCGUAAAGGGCUCGUAGGCGGCCAACUAAGUCAGACGUGAAAUCCCUCGGCUUAACCGGGGAACUGCGUCUGAUACUGGAUGGCUUGAGGUUGGGAGAGGGAUGCGGAAUUCCAGGUGUAGCGGUGAAAUGCGUAGAUAUCUGGAGGAACACCGGUGGCGAAGGCGGCAUCCUGGACCAAUUCUGACGCUGAGGAGCGAAAGCCAGGGGAGCAAACGGG